rnacentral:rRNA from 1 species
UAGGGAAUCUUCGGCAAUGGACGAAAGUCUGACCGAGCAACGCCGCGUGAGUGAAGAAGGUUUUCGGAUCGUAAAACUCUGUUGUUAGAGGAGAACAAGUGGGAGAGUAACUGUUCCCACCUUGACGGUAUCUAACCAGAAAGCCACGGCUAACUACGUGCCAGCAGCCGCGGUAAUACGUAGGUGGCAAGCGUUGUCCGGAUUUAUUGGGCGUAAAGCGAGCGCAGGCGGUUUUUUAAGUCUGAUGUGAAAGCCCUCGGCUCAACCGAGGAAGGUCAUUGGAAACUGGAGAACUUGAGUGCAGAAGAGGAGAGUGGAAUUCCAUGUGUAGCGGUGAAAUGCGUAGAUAUAUGGAGGAACACCAGUGGCGAAGGCGACUCUCUGGUCUGUAACUGACGCUGAGGCUCAAAAGCGUGGGGAGCAAACAG